CUACGGGGUGCUCCAGUGGGGAAUAUUGCACAAUGGAGGAAACUCUGAUGCAGCAACGCCGCGUGGAGGAUGACACUUUUCGGAGCGUAAACUCCUUUUAUAUAGGAAGAUAAUGACGGUACUAUAUGAAUAAGCACCGGCUAACUCCGUGCCAGCGGCCGCGGUAAUACGGAGGGUGCAAGCGUUACUCGGAAUCACUGGGCGUAAAGAGCGUGUAGGCGGGUUAAUAAGUCAGAAGUGAAAUCCUAUGGCUCAACCAUAGAACUGCUUUUGGAACUGUUAACCUAGAGUGUGGGAGAGGUAGAUGGAAUUUCUGGUGUAGGGGUAAAAUCCGUAGAGAUCAGAAGGAAUACCGAUUGCGAAGGCGAUCUACUGGAACAUAACUGACGCUGAGACGCGAAAGCGUGGGGAGCAAACAGGAUUAGAUACCCGGGUAGUC
rnacentral:rRNA from 1 species